rnacentral:rRNA from 1 species
CCUACGGGCGGCAGCAGUGGGGAAUAUUGGACAAUGGGGGGAACCCUGAUCCAGCGACGCCGCGUGAGUGAAGACGUAUUUCGGUAUGUAAAGCUCUAUUUGCAGGGAAGAAAGAAAUGACGGUACCUGACUAAUAAGCCCCGGCUAACUACGUGCCAGCAGCCGCGGUAAUACGUAGGGGGCAAGCGUUAUCAGGAUUUACUGGGUGGAAAGGGAGCGUAGGCGGGGAUGCAAGUCUGAAGUGAAAGGCCGGGGCCCAACCCACGGCCUGCGUUGGAAACUGUAUGGCUGGAGUGCAGGGGAGGUAGGUGGAAUGCCUGGUGUAGCGGUGAAAUGCGUAGAUAUUAGGAGGAACACCAGGGGCGAAGGCGGCUUACUGGACUGUAACUGACGUUGAGGCUCGAAAGCGUGGGGAGCAAACAGGAUUAGAUACCCUAGUAGUC